CAAAGGGGUGCCAAGUGGCUGAGAUUAUACCCUAAGAACCUGAUACGGAUAAUGCCGGCGCAGGGAUUGUGUUUU
rnacentral:ncRNA from 1 species